UCCUCUCUCGUACGACGUAUACACGGCAGCCGCCGACCCUAGUCGGCUCCAUCGUUCUCUCUUCACGCAUCGCUCGGUCAACGGACGGCAGCGACAAACACGCAACUGCAGAUCGGCAACGGCAAGCCAACAAUUCUAGUCCUAAUGUGAGGCUAAAAGAUCGAGAAAUGAUGCUCUGAAAUGUGAGUGACUUUACAUGCUUCUUCCACUUCAUGUGGCACAAGAUCUAGCAGCCAAGUACAAGUUCCUUGUGAAUAUGCCAAUGGCUGAAGAUGGAGAUCAUGUUAUUCUUUCCAAUGAUGAAGAUGGACAGGAGGAGGAGGUGAAAGAGGUCAAUGAAGUAGGCAAACAGAAGCUAACUUCUAAAGUUUGGUUGGAAAUGAAAAAGAUUAGGAUCAACGGGCAAUGGAAGGAAAGGUGUAACUAUUGUCACAAGGAACUUACUUCAGGACCCAGAGCAGGCACGAAGCAUCUUGCUGAACAUCUAAAGAUUUGCACUCUCAAGAUGUUGAAGACGAAGGGAGGCAAAACAUUGUGUCAGCCCUCAUUGAUGAUGAAUGCUAAGGAGGACGGUAACAUUUCUUUAGAGACCUAUACUUUUGAUCAAGAGGUUGCUAGAAGAGAGUUUGGUAACAUGUUGGUG